rnacentral:misc_RNA from 1 species
CUUACAUUCGUUCUACACGGUUGCUGACCACUUUUAAAACUAUGACUAGAAAACUAACCAUCUUUAUAAUUCUUACGUGUCUUGUGCUACUCCCAACGUUUGUAUCUAGCAUCGAAGAGGCUAUAAAUUUCCUAGAUGUACGCGGCGAACUUAAAAGAUUGAAUAAUCUUUAUGCUUUUAAUAAUUAUAACAUAACAACAGAGUUAAGUCUACUGGAUGUUUUGAAAUUUAUAUUUCGCCCUGAAUACAAAGAGGCUAUUAGGAAUGCUGAAGACGUAUCUGAAGAAUGUCGAGAAAACAUGAUCGCCUACAUAGAAGGCAAAGAAGCGGGUGCAGAUUUCGCUAACAGAAUGUACUAUUCAAAUGGGGAUAUUCCGGACAGAAAGGCCCUCUGGAGUUUAGACUUCCAUUCCUAUGGCAACUAUGAACUUUGUGUUGGUGUACCUGAGAAGAGCCCGGAUGCGACUUUUGCGACCAAACAAUGCGGUUUAGUAAUUCUACCAUUUGAAUUUCGUAUAGCGUAUUGUUUUCCUGUGUCGUGCACUAACAAUGAUUUGAAAGAAAUUACAAAAGCAGUAUUGGUUGAGCACUGGCUUCCUUGGCCAAAACCGGGUAAAGAAUUCAACAAUUUUGAAUACCAAUGCAUCGAUGAAGUUCCUUGGUCAGCCGGUUCAAUUGUCACAAUGUGCAUUAUAUCUAUACUUGCUGCUCUUGUCAUCGCGGGGACUAUUUUCGAAAUUGUUAAAGACUACACCACCAAACAAGAGGGAGUAUUAGUGAAAUACCAAUCGAACGAAAAUUAUGGAUUUACACAAGCAGAUGAAAUUCUUAAAUCUGGCGCGAAAAUACCAGCUAUUGAAGCUAUCAGUCACGAGGUUCCCUUUGAAGUGACAACCAGUUCAAGUUUACCUAUAAACGAAAAGGCAAAUGUGAAAAAUGAAAGUUUCUCAAAGGUGGAAAUAGAUGGCGUUAGACCACCCCCAAACGUUGACAAAAAUAUCGUUUUAGGUCAGACUUUACUUAGUUUUUCCGCUCUUACAAAUGGCCGAAAAAUUCUAAAAGUAAAUUCAAAAAGUGGACAGUUAGAUUGUCUAAACGGUAUCCGCGUACUGAGUAUGUGGUGGGUGAUUCUUGGCCAUGCUACAUCAUUUCUCUUUCUUCGAAUCGAUAAUUUUCCGUACCUCUUCGACGUAUACAAAAAAUUUACUUUCUUGGCGAUCAGUAAUGCAACGUUUUCUGUAGACAGUUUCUUUGUCCUAAGUGGAUUACUUAUCACCUAUUUAACUCUAAAACAUCUUAAGAAAUUCAACGGACGAAUAAAUUGGGCUAUGUUUUACUUCCAUCGAUUCUGGCGUUUGACUCCGUUUUACAUGGUGGUGUUGUCAAUUCAUGCUAAUCUUAUAGUAUAUUUUGGGAAGGGACAAGGCUUAAUUGAGUGGGCACAGAGAGAACACAACACUUGUGCAAACUACUGGUGGACAAAUCUUCUAUACAUCAACAAUUUAUAUCCAUUCCCAGGAAGCCUCACUACGCAGUGUAUGAGUUGGGCUUGGUAUUUGGCGAACGACAUGCAAUUUUUCGUCAUCAGUCCGUUUAUCAUUAUUCUUUUACACAAACGUUGGAGGGUUGGAAUUUCAGCAAUAGGUACACUGUGUCUGCUAUCCUUCGCUGCAACGGCUUAUAUUGCCACGUAUUGGGGGAUGAUUGUUCAAGGCGGUGCAUACAAUCAACAAUCUUACAACAACCGUACUCAAGAGUUAGAGCCGGGGAACGAUGAUCUCAUUUACGGAAAACCUUACUGUCGCAUACCCGCAUACUUAGUCGCUGUAUGUACUACUUGGUUGGGGCGUUGCCAUUGCUACUGGUCUUGCUGUUAUCUAUGGCUUAUGGGGCACAUAUGAGCCCAAGCAAAUGGACCAAGGUGUCGCUGUUUUCUAUACCACUGUUUCCCGAUUCGCAUGGUCAGUGGCAGUCGGCUGGGUAGCGUUUGCUUGUGUCACAGGUUACGGAGGAUUCGCCAAUACGCUUCUUUCCUGGGGAGUGUGGGGUCCUUUAGGACGUCUUUCGUACGGUGCAUACCUGGUUCACCCUUUUCUUAUAUACAACUUGAUUCUUUCCAUGAAAACCGGAUUUCAUUUUACUUACGCA